rnacentral:lncRNA from 1 species
CUAAGUUUAAAACAAUUAAAGUUUUAGAUUGCUAUUCUGAUUUUCCACAGCAUAUUAGUCUCUCUUGGAUGUCUUUUAAAAGCACAAAGUGUCUGACGAGUCAAAUGGAAGAAUUUAAUCUAGUUGACGUCAUAUGUAAAUACGAUUGGAACCACUGUUAUUUGGAGAUAACAGUGGCCGCUGUGGUUGAAGAACCUAAUUCAAGCAUUUGGAUUGAGGCUCAGGGCCAUUUCUCCCUCACUGAUACUCCUUUGAAAAACACUGGUCUGUAAGGGCGGAUGUUCUUCUCUUCCUCUUCUUUGUCAGUGACCACUUUUAUUACAUUCUAUAUGUAUCACUAGAUAAGUUCCUUGGAUAUAUUAGUUGGAAGAGAUAAAUUUAGAAAAUCUUGUUUUCCUUUUAACAAAGCAUAUCUUAUAAAGUUGUUGUCUUGCUUAGUACUGACAUAUUAUACGUUUGAUGUGAGCAUAUCCUUGCAUUUCUUCUGUAUUAUAAUGCCUUGGAAUGCAGUUGCUUCAUGAUGGGUAGAUGAAGUGGGGGUCACGG